rnacentral:rRNA from 1 species
UGGGGAAUCUUCCGCAAUGGGCGAAAGCCUGACGGAGCAAUACCGCGUGAGGGAGGAAUGCCUUUGGGUUGUAAACCUCUUUCCUCAGGGAAGAAGAUCUGACGGUACCUGAGGAAUAAGUAUCGGCUAACUCCGUGCCAGCAGCCGCGGUAAUACGGAGGAUGCAAGCGUUAUCCGGUAUCAUUGGGCGUAAAGCGUCCGCAGGUGGUUUCCAAAGUCUGCUGUUAAAGACUGGAGCUCAACUCCGGAACGGCGGUGGAAACUUGGAAACUAGAGUUCGGUAGGGGUAGCAGGAAUUCCCAGUGUAGCGGUGAAAUGCGUAGAUAUUGGGAAGAACAUCGGUGGCGAAGGCGUGCUACUGGACCGUAACUGACACUCAGGGACGAAAGCUAGGGGAGCGAAAGGGAUUAGAUACCCCUGUAGUCCUAGCUGUAAACGAUGGAAACUAGGUGUGGCUUGA